ACUCCUACGGGAGGCAGCAGUGGGGAAUAUUGCACAAUGGGCGCAAGCCUGAUGCAGCCAUGCCGCGUGUAUGAAGAAGGCCUUCGGGUUGUAAAGUACUUUCAGCAGUGAGGAAGGUGGGUAUGUUAAUAGCAUAUUCAUUUGACGUUAGCUGCAGAAGAAGCACCGGCUAACUCCGUGCCAGCAGCCGCGGUAAUACGGAGGGUGCGAGCGUUAAUCGGAAUUACUGGGCGUAAAGCGCAUGCAGGUGGUUUGUUAAGUCAGAUGUGAAAGCCCGGGGCUCAACCUCGGAAUUGCAUUUGAAACUGGCAAACUAGAGUACUGUAGAGGGGGGUAGAAUUUCAGGUGUAGCGGUGAAAUGCGUAGAGAUCUGAAGGAUACCGGUGGCGAAGGCGGCCCCCUGGACAGAUACUGACACUCAGAUGCGAAAGCGUGGGGAGCAAACAGGAUUAGAUACCCUGGUAGGCUGUGC
rnacentral:rRNA from 1 species